UGCGUAGGGUGCGAGCGUUAAUCGGAAUUACUGGGCGUAAAGCGUGCGCAGGCGGCUUUGUAAGACAGGCGUGAAAUCCCCGGGCUCAACCUGGGAAUGGCGCUUGUGACUGCAAGGCUGGAGUGCGGCAGAGGGGGAUGGAAUUCCGCGUGUAGCAGUGAAAUGCGUAGAUAUGCGGAGGAACACCGAUGGCGAAGGCAAUCCCCUGGGCCUGCACUGACGCUCAUGCACGAAAGCGUGGGGAGCAAACAGG
rnacentral:rRNA from 1 species